UUAUAAAGUUUCCACGAGUGGCUGGCCACGACACUUGCUGGAACACACUAACUAAUCAUGGUGCUUGGGAGAAACGCCUGAUUGCACGACAGAAGAUUGAUGACUUUUGUGACUCCAGCGGUAUAAAGACAUAUAACAAGCACUUGCAGAUCAAGGUGAACAGUGAUUUUGUUGCUGGAACGGCCGCAAGACAGACCAGUCUACACAUAGACACUCAACAAAAAAGGUACUUGAAAAUCAAUAAUGGCAUCCCGCACAUUCCUGCUGAUACUGGCCGUAGCCACGCUACUGGUGGCCGUGCUGGGCGCUGGGUACGAGGACGACACAGAGGCGCUCUAUCAGAUGUACAACGAGGCAAUGGCGAAGAGGGACGACCACAAUUUAAUGGACUACCUUUUGGAGAAAAGGGGACGAGGGGGAUCCACAAGAAAAUGCAUGCACCUGGGCUCCAUGUGCACCUGUGACUAUAGGUUCGGCCCCACAAACUCCAAACGGUACGCCAACUGCUUGAAGAUCACGGCAUGAGAGAACAGUAGAAGAGGAAAGUACGACAGUGAUAACAACAAGAACUCGCAACAACACAUAUAGGUUUAUCGUAAGGAAACCCGAUGAAGCAAAUAUAAGGCUGACAGGUUACAUGUAAAUUAAUUCAAUUUUUAAAAUGGGGGGAAUAUUUACGGUUGGGACAUGUUUUCGUAUCCAAACUGUGUUUGGCUUCCGGUACUUUGGUAAGUCACGUUGGUUUAAUUGUAUACCGAUAAAUAUGCUGCCUGUGAAACCAUUACAUGUAUUAUGAGAAUUUUACAGAACACGAUUUUUGAUUUCAAGUUUGUUUUUAUUAUCAUCAAUGUACUUAAUAUUAAACAAACCUAGUCCUAAACCUCGAAGACUGCACAUCAAUGCACCCGAUGACUGGUAUACUUUUCAAUUUAAUUUUCUUCGUAGUUUAUGUAGAAGGUCAAAAAUCGUGAUCUCAAUUCAUGGUAAAACUAAAGUUUGAGAUUUUAGAAUAAAAAGUAAUAAUCAACUGAUCAGUUCUAGUUCCCUAAUGACAUGCACAACGGCAAUUCUACAAAUUAAUAAUGAUCCAACUAGGAGAAAAGAUUCAGAGAAACGUUCUUGUAACAUAAUUAUAUUGAACCCUGGUAAUGUUUAACCAAUUAAGGCCUACCUCCCUUGUUCAGGUAAAUAUCGAAUAGACUAGAUUAUGACGCAUAUUUGUUAUAAUAUAAUCUCUAGUGUGCCACUGAAUGUGGCACGGAGCAUGCGCAAUCCAGACCGCCUCGCGUGCGCGCAACGGUCCAAUCAGCACCGCUUAUUUACGAUUGCUUACGUAAUGCUUUGCAGUCAUCUCUUUAUGAUACAGACGAUUUGGGUUACAAUGGUUGGGGCUCUCAUGAAUAUGCAAUUCGACCAAACCUCCGAAGUAUUGCAAUUAUUUACUAUGAGUAAAAAACCAGCUCCUGUUAAUUUUCCCUAGUCUGGUUAAGCUAGAUUGUUGUACUGUUAAGAAACCGAGAUAGGUUCUGUAGCAUCACUGAUAUUUUUUUCUUUUAAAUAAACCACAAUUUGUUUGACUUUCUAUCUAAUGAACAAGGUUGUAAAGCUAAUGUUCCUCAACAAAGCCACAGACAAAACCAAGUUAUUACAAAAGGAUUGUAUAGAGUUUAGGUACAAAAUACGGUGGUCGUAGGUUCGAAGCUCACUUCAGUCAGUUUUCUUUGUAAGACUGAAAACUGAUUUAAGUGACCAAGUCAGGUUUGCCGUUCUGGUAUUCAGUUUACUCUGAUUUUUUUUGUUAAAAAGAAAUCGGAGUAAGGCUAUGGUUAAACGAGGUUUCAAAAAAAAUUGUCAAUGGCAUGCUUCGUUUGAAUUAUGGAGAAGUUCAACACGUACCAGCUGUAAAUAAUAAUGCUUGUAGCGAAUAGCACGCUGUUUAAGAUUCGGGCGUAAACUCAUAUUUAACAAUGUUGUGCAAGCCAAAUGAAAUGCGACUGUCAAAACAAAAAUCUGUCAAACAUAAUGCCUAAUUCCAUUAACUACGGAUUGGGUGACACUCUAAAGAAAUCCGGGUCAGAUUGGACCCGGAAUCUGGGUUGUGUUUGACCUGAUUCAUUUCAGGGUCAAAAUGACCUUUUACGGGUCAAACUGACAUUUUUCUAGAUCAUGUUGGCUAAUCUUGAUUCUUAACCCAGAAACCUCGACAAAGUGUCAUUUUUUACCCAGACAAAAAAAGUCAUUUUGACCCUAACAAGUAUCGGGUCAAACAGAAACCUGAUUCCGGGUCGUUUCUGACCCGGGACUUUUCAUGCAGAGUCACAGCUCUAUACUUAUCAUUGUGAAAAUAUUUUAGUCCCAUUGUAUUGUUGUCACUUUGUUUGCAAUAUAAACAUUUUAAGUAAGUUCGACAACCAGAGUAAUGUAAAACCAAUGGUUAAUUAAAUAAGACAACUAUGUGCAUACGUCACUAAAAGUGUGGAAACGUCACUCUUUCGUAAAAUCAGCGAUUGACGUGUGCAGUUAGUUGUGGUGUUAUAGUAAAUUGUAACCUUGCACCCGUUUUUAACUUUAAUUCUCAUGAAAUGAAAUUUAAAAAAACAUAAAUUAAAAUUUUGCAAAAGAAAGUUUUAAAUAGCUUGAAAGUAUAUCACUUUUUCCAUGAGGUUUAUCCAGUGCAUGGGGAUUUUAAUUAAAGGGGCAAUACUUUUUGAGUAUACUGUGUAAACGGUCAAUAUCUCACCCAUAACCACAUGCUUUGAUAGAAGUUUAGAAGUGGAAAUAAAAGCACAGUGAAGCACAG
rnacentral:lncRNA from 1 species